GGGACGAUGAGCUUUAUCGCCGCGCGAUAAGCCUUAUCCCCCGCGACAGCCCGUGUUUCCCAGCGGCGGCCAUAGGGCUUUAGCCUUAUCUUCUUCUGGCCUCGGUCCUUCCCUUAGCCUAUAAAUACCCCUCUACCCCUCAGUUUUCCAUCAUCAACAAUCAUUCUAACCAUUCACAUCAAAAAACCUUAAUCUCUCUAAUUAAUCUUUAACCUUUUCUUAAUCCACGACUCCCACAACUCAACCCACGAAACUUAGCACUUAAAAACAACAAGAAACAACAACCUUUCGUCCCUAAUCAAAGAUCUAAUUACAUUCAUUCACAAUUCCUUAUACACGAAGUUCUUGUGCGCGAGAUCGAGCAAGCGUGAGAUCUUUGAAACCCAUACGUGAAAGGUUGAACCUGAGGGUUCUAAAAUUAAUUCUUUCCCUUAAACUCUCUUGUACUUUCUAUUUUUCAUUAAUUUUUAUUGAUUUGAUUCGAAUUACUAACAUGUUUAUUUGAUUGGUGUCCAUAGCAAGAAGGUUGCGCGCGUAAGUGCUUGGUCAAAGAAGCAAGGUAGCUAGUUCGAGACAACGCAGAGGUUUAAGGACUAUUCUUAAGCAUCGCAACUCGUCGCAAGAGAAAAGCAAAGGUUCCCAUGAAAUCACAAGAGGACAUCGCUAAGCUCCAACAGUCAAUGGACCAACACACAACGUUGUUCUAAGCUCUCCACACUCGAGUCGAGGGGACCGAGAAAAAGGGACCCCUAAGACCCACCGGUUUCAGCCGAAAUAACUAAUUGAAUAGUAUCUAGAAUUAAAGGGAAAAUGUAAUUGAAUCACGCUAACUUAGGUAAUUAAUUAAUUGGUUUAGGCAUUAACAUGACUUUAAUUGAAGUGAUCACGAAGCUUAGAUUUUCGUGUGUAUUAACAAAUAACCAACCUAGACUUUAAUAGUUUUUAGGUUUAGAUUUAGGUUUAGGAUUAACCUAUUGUUUGUAUGUCAAUCGGGAAGCGAUAAUAAUGUCAAAACCUAAGUAGAGGCCAAAUCGGGCGGAAUUGACUUCUUUUAACUCAAUUUCGUACCAUCAUCCCUGAAUCCAUACUGGUUCAAGACCACUACCGGAUCAUAAUUUCAUAAAUUAUGGUGGGUUUAUGAGUUUUCCCAAGACUCAUUGGUGACUCUAUCAACUUUCCUAGGAUUGCCAAAGGCAUGCCUAAAAGCAUGACACUACGGUAAGGCGAAGAAGUAUGAAAAAUUCCCUACAAUUUUUGCGACUCCACUGGGGAGGAUUACUAAUUGAUACUAAUGUGUUUGGUAUUGAUUGGGAUGAGUGGAUAAGACUUGAAAAAUGUUUUGACCUUCCUUAUCGUAAUCUUGAUUGACAUUGUGGCAUUUGCAUAAAAAGGUACGCAUUGGAAAGACAAUCCGUAAUGCGUCAAACCAUAGGAUACACGUAGGAAUUGACUGGAAAAUUAAUUACAAUUAGAUUCGGCCUAAAAUCGCGAAUGCUCAACUGAAGACAGAAAACCGAGUUGCCAUCGGCGAUAAGCCUGUCGCCGGACGAUAGAGGGUAUCGCCGGGCGACAGCCUCCACUCGUUAAUAUCUUGAGUCGAGCUAACUUGAGCUGAGUUUUUACAGAGCUUUGACUGAGUAGAAUUCGAGUUGCUCGCGAGUUGCUCAACUCGAUUACUACCCCAACCUAGCAUUUCUAGAUUUUUUUGAAUGAUCCCUUGAUAAAAUUAUACAAAGUCAAAACUUCAUCUAUAGCUCUUGUAUCAAGUUGGUUCCUAGCAAGUGGUGGAAAGAACCACCAAUAUCCAAUACCCAUAACAAACCAACCCGUCAACGACACAAGCUACAGCCCAAUGUAAGCCCAAAUUUAGGCCCAAAACAUCCUUCAAUGUAAACUCCAAUAACACACAAAGCCCAUGCAACACAAAAAACCAGGUAACUUCCCACGAGGGACUUACACGUCCGCCAUCACACCAGAAAUAGAGGCCCAAUAUAGGCCCAAAUAUUUGGACAAAAAUGUUCUAUUUGGGAUAUAUACUGUGUGGCACGUUAUAUCUAUUACCCUGAGGUUCCACCUCUUCCCCCAAAAAUCAACGGGAGAUGUUGUGGUGGGUAUAUGGGUUGGGGUAAAAGGUUGUGGUGGGUAGGAUAUAGGGGAAAGUAGGUGGGUUUGGCUGAGUGGUUUGGGUGGGGCUGGGGUGGUUAAGAAGGUGGGUCUGGGUUGGUUAAGGUAGACUGGUGGUGGUAGGUGAUAGGAUUAGGGGUGUAGGCAGUGGCAGGGUAGUGGUGGUGGGCUGUCGGUUUUUUUUAUACAAUUUUCCGAUAAAAUUUCCGUCGGAUUUAUUUUUUAAUUCGACCGAAGAGUAUUCGUCGAAGAGUCCGUUUAAAAAAAGGGUUUCUGACGAAAACUGCGUAAUUUUCGACAAAUACUUUUCCAACGGACGUUUCCGAUGGAAAAUCUUUCAGAAACCAUGUAUCCGACGGAAUAGUGGGUAUUUCUGUCAGAAAACAGCUUAUUUCUAGUAGUGUUCAUUUGACCUAUGUCAUCAACGGACGGGACAUCCUUCAGUUUCGGUGUUAAGAAAUGAUUUCGACAAUGAGUAGUUCUUCUCAGAGACAUAAUAAAGCAUGUGAUAUUGGGAAAAACAAUCAAGUUGUAGUUUCCCAAUUAGUGAAAAUAUAGCAAGUCGCAUAUUUGAACUUGUUCAUAUACAUUUGUGGGGUUCAUAUAAAACACCUUCCUCUUGUGGUGCUCAUUAAUUUUUAACAAUAGUGGAUGAUUUUUCUAGAGGUGUUUGAAUC